CCUACGGGAGGCAGCAGUGGGGAAUCUUGGGCCAUGGGCGCAAGCCUGACCCAGCAACGCCGCGUGUAGGAAGAAGGCUUUCGGGUUGUAAACUUCUUUUCUCAGGGACGAAGAAAGUGACGGUACCUGAGGAAUACGCCACGGCUAAAUACGUGCCAGCAGCCGCGGUAAUACGUAGGUGGCAAGCGUUAUACGGAUGUAUUGGGUGUAAAGGGCGUGUAGGCGGGGGCGCAAGUCAGAUGUGAAAACUCAGGGCUCAACCCUGAGCCUGCAUUUGAAACUGUGUUUCUUGAGUGCUGGAGAGGCGAUCGGGAUGCCGUGUGUAGCGGGGCAAUGCGUAGAGAUACGGAGGAACACCAGUGGCGAAGGCGGAUUGCUGGACAGUAACUGACGCUGAGGCGCGAAAGCGUGGGGAGCAAACAGGAUUAGAUACCCGUGUAGUC
rnacentral:rRNA from 1 species